GAUGCGGCUUGCGUGAGGCGCCUACAUUUGCUGUUGCCUUUUACGGAGAAAUUAGGACACAAGUGGUUUUUCGGUUCUUCAUUCUGGUGCGGCCCUGUGAACCGGCCUGCAGUGCUCAUGGGAAAUAUGAGAUGUGUCUUAAUUAUUUUUGCCUUAGUACUUCUAACUAAAAAUGUGGCUGGCUAGAAAUUAGGACACAAGUGGUUUUUCGGUUCUCCAUUCUGGUGCGGCUCUGUGAAACUGCCUGCAAUGCUCAUGGCAAAUAUGAGAUGUGCAUUUAUUAUUUUUGCCAUGGUACUUCUGGCUAAAUAUGUGGCUGGCACACGCAAGAAAUCCGGGCUUGACCCAGACGCCCACUGUGUCCCGUGCAAAUGCGCCAUCUCGUUUAAUGGCUACUGCACCAUGAACAGCGACACUGACUGCGUGUGCGUUUUGGGAAAGUAUCGGCGAGGACCCGAUGGACCAUGCAUAUCGAAGUCAGAAUGUUCUCCUGAUUUUUAGCCAACACUACAUAUUAUACUUUUCCGAAUAAAUAAAAACAAAUUAAAAACCAAGACAAA